CCGGUACCGGCGGGGUGGCCGCACGCGCCCCGCCCCGCCGCCAUCCCAUUGGCCGCUGGCGUCACGUGCAAGCCCCUUCCCGAGGGCGGUGACCGGCACCGGAGAAAGUUACCGGCGGGACCGCGGCACCAGGUGGCUCCGGGCCGUGCCCAUGGCGGAGAAACUGGAGCCCCGGGACUCGGAGAGCAGCAGCCGGGAGCCGGCGGGCAGCGAGGGGCUGCCCGUGGAGACGCUGGGUCCGGAGCUGGAGCCGGAGGAGGAGGAUGAAGAUGA